CGAGUGGCGGACGGGUGAGUAAUGUCUGGGAAACUGCCCGAUGGAGGGGGAUAACUACUGGAAACGGUAGCUAAUACCGCAUAACGUCGCAAGACCAAAGAGGGGGACCUUCGGGCCUCUUGCCAUCGGAUGUGCCCAGAUGGGAUUAGCUUGUAGGUGAGGUAACGGCUCACCUAGGCGACGAUCCCUAGCUGGUCUGAGAGGAUGACCAGCCACACUGGAA
rnacentral:rRNA from 1 species